rnacentral:rRNA from 1 species
AGAGUUUGAUCCUGGCUCAGGAUGAACGCUGACAGAAUGCUUAACACAUGCAAGUCAACUUGAACUUCGGUUUGGGUGGCGGACGGGUGAGUAACGCGUAAAGAACUUGCCUCACAGUUAGGGACAACAUUUGGAAACGAAUGCUAAUACCUGAUAUUAUGAUUUUAGGGCAUCCUAGGAUUAUGAAAGCUAUAUGCGCUGUGAGAGAGCUUUGCGUCCCAUUAGCUAGUUGGAGAGGUAACGGCUCACCAAGGCGAUGAUGGGUAGCCGGCCUGAGAGGGUGAUCGGCCACAAGGGGACUGAGACACGGCCCUUACUCCUACGGGAGGCAGCAGUGGGGAAUAUUGGACAAUGGACCAAGAGUCUGAUCCAGCAAUUCUGUGUGCACGAUGAAGUUUUUCGGAAUGUAAAGUGCUUUCAGUUGGGAAGAAAAAAAUGACGGUACCAACAGAAGAAGUGACGGCUAAAUACGUGCCAGCAGCCGCGGUAAUACGUAUGUCACAAGCGUUAUCCGGAUUUAUUGGGCGUAAAGCGCGUCUAGGUGGUUAUGUAAGUCUGAUGUGAAAAUGCAGGGCUCAACUCUGUAUUGCGUUGGAAACUGUGUAACUAGAGUACUGGAGAGGUAAGCGGAACUACAAGUGUAGAGGUGAAAUUCGUAGAUAUUUGUAGGAAUGCCGAUGGGGAAGCCAGCUUACUGGACAGAUACUGACGCUGAAGCGCGAAAGCGUGGGUAGCAAACAGGAUUAGAUACCCUGGUAGUCCACGCCGUAAACGAUGAUUACUAGGUGUUGGGGGUCGAACCUCAGCGCCCAAGCAAACGCGAUAAGUAAUCCGCCUGGGGAGUACGUACGCAAGUAUGAAACUCAAAGGAAUUGACGGGGACCCGCACAAGCGGUGGAGCAUGUGGUUUAA